AUUGAACGCUGGCGGCAGGCCUAACACAUGCAAGUCGGGCGGAUGAAGGGAGCUUGCUCCUGGAUUCAGCGGCGGACGGGUGUGUAAUGCCUAGGAAUCUGCCUGGUAGUGGGGGAUAACGUCCGGAAACGGGCGCUAAUACCGCAUACGUCCUGUGGGAGCAAGUGGGGGAUCUUCGGACCUCCCGCUAUCAUUUGAGCCUAGGUCGGAUUAGCUAGUUGGUGGGGUAAAGGCCUACCAAGGCGACGAUCCGUAACUGGUCUGAGAGGAUGAUCAGUCACACUGGAACUGAGACACGGUCCAGACUCCUACGGGAGGCAGCAGUGGGGAAUAUUGGACAAUGGGCGAAAGCCUGAUCCAGCAAUGCCGCGUGUGAGAAGAAGGGCUUCGGAUUGUAAAGCACUUUAAGUUGGGAGGAAGGGAAGUAAGUUAAUACCUUGCUGUAUUGACGUUACCAACAGAAUAAGCACCGGCUAACUUCGUG
rnacentral:rRNA from 1 species